AUGGAAGUUUCUGCGGGCCCAGGGUGCUUGAUUCCUGGGUACAGAAGCUCCAUGUGCUCCCCCCCCCCCCCGGGUUCUCUGGCAGUCCAUGGUGGUGGUCAUCCAAGUUCCAUGCGGGCCUAGGAUGCUUCAUUCCUGGGUACAGAAGCUCUAUGGGCCUCCCUGGUUGUCCACAUAUAAACAGUGAAAAGUGUUGUCAGCUCCUGGAAUCAAACCCGGGUGGGAGGCAAGUUUCUUAACCAUUGUGCCACGGGGAGCAAGGCUGCAUCCACUGAAAUGGCACUGUUUUUAUUCCCCCCACAUUUCUCUUUGCAUGCGGGCCUAGGUGUUAUAUUCCUGGCUAAAUGCGCUCCAUGUGCCCCCUGGUUGUCUGGAGGUCAAGUGUGGGGAUCAAGUCUAAGUCCAUGGGCCCUCCUGGAUCUCUGGAGGUCCUUGGUGUGGUCAGCCCACCUCCUUGCGGGCUUUGGGUGCCCUAGUCCCAGGUACAGAAGCUCCAUGUGCCCCCUGGUUCUCUGGACCUGGACCAAAUACAUACAGCAGAGACAAUCAUGGACAAAGCUGUUCAGAAAGAUUACUAUGAACUUGAGAAUUUGUCUCUGGGAGAUGAUUAAAGGAGGAGUACUAAGUGUUUUUCAUUUGGACAUGGUCCUGGUCCUGGGUGGUUCUAAAUAUUUAAAUUGGACUACGAUUUAUCUUUUUUUUCUAGAAUAAAUAAAAUGUUGGUUCCAGCAGUGGUUCACACCACUACAGUUGCCCAUUCACUGUCCUCAUCUUCAGGUGACGGAUUGCUGAAUCAAAUAGUCUAGCGAAAUUCAACUGCAGAGUCUCUCAAUAUUUCCGCUACAGACAUUGGUCACUGUCCCACAUGGGAGACAUCGAACCAUGUGUUUCUAUGUAUGGUUACAUCAUACAUAUACUGUAAAUGGGCUUAUAUCUUCGACUGUAUAAACAGUGAAAAGUGUUGUCAGAUCCUGGAAUCGAACCCGGGUCUGCCGGGUGGGAGGCAAGUGCUUUAACCAGUGCUACGGAGGUCACAUGACUUCUUUAUGGACUACAUCAUUAUUAUGUAUAUGAGCAGACACGCGUCCUGAAAACUGGAAACUUCUUUACUGCUUCAUCAUUGUGAGAGACACGACCGGCAGCACACACGGGCUUUGGUAGGAGUGAACGGUAAGUUGUUUUUAAUGACUGAAAAUUGUUAAAAUGUGUUUAUUCUAAGAAAAAUAAGUAACUGCAUUUUUUUUUUUUGCCACAGCGGUCACAUGUCCUCACGGCUGCAGCUUGUCAACUGCACCGGCCAUACAGAAGCAGGAGCUCUGCCACUGCGGGUCACAUGACAUGAUGACUCAUCUGUUUGAUGGGGCAGGUGCAAGUUGUUAGCUGCUGCACUCAUUGUGAGGGAGACGGCAGAGCAGUGAGCAACAAGUGGAGAAACCGGAGCAUUUUGCACGUGCUUUUCUUGAGGGAGAGACAACGUUUGCCUAUAGAAAUGAAACCCCCAAAGCCUCCUCCACACUGCCCGAUAUGUGAAUAUCAAUUCAUUUAUCUGGGUAAACACCUGAUCAGCAAACAUUCAAUCUCAAACAAGUUGGAGAAAAGAAUAUUAAUUAACUAUGCCACAGGGCGAGUAAAUUUUCAUCACCUCUCCUGUCCAGUAGAGGGAUGCGACUUCAGCAAAACUCGAAUUGACAGACAUCGGCCACCCGGAGCUGGGUGAAGAAAAGGUGAAGGGCAUUGCUGAUGACCUGAAAAGAAAGGUCACCAUAGCCAGCCUGAGGGCCCUCAGGGCGUCCAACCCCUCUCCGCCCAUGCUUUCUAGCUUGGACAUUGGCCAUGAUGAAAAUGAGAUGCUCCGGGAUGUGUCAGAUUCCGAGGCUCCCUCCAGCUCCUCCUGCUCCAAAUGCACCAAAAUGGCAGCAGAUACUAAGGAGCUGUGGAGGAAGCUGCGGAACAGACAGAGGUGGAUCAAGAAGGCCAAGGCCAAAAUCAAGUCCUUGGAGGAGACAGUAGAACUCAAGGACACGGACAACUCCCAUAGCCCUCUUCCAAGUGGGCAAGGUGACUCCACCACCACCCAGGACUUGCAGGAAUCAGAGGAUGCACAACCCGCCACCCAGGACGCACCGCUAAAAUGAAGAUCGAAAAAGGGUCUUAAUAUUUUUCCAAAUUGCAGCCCCAUGUUAAAAUACAUGCUGCGCAAAAAAAUGCAGAGGUACACCGUACACGCCACAAAAGCGGCCAUUGCGUGCAAGGAGGGUUGCAUAGUAGUAGUUUAGAUCUCUUUUUUUUUUUUGCAUUUUGAGUUUGAUUUUGUUUGCUGUGUUUUGCUGUGUGUGUUUUUUAUUUUGUAACAUAGUUGUUUAAGUUCCUGGAAAUAUAUUGUUGUUUUUGUGUAAUUAAAUGUAAAUAUUCUUGUUUAAGCAAUGUCUCCCUUUUAUUAUAUCAACCUGAGUUUCUGCCAUGGAGUAGCAUGUGUAGAUGCUCCUAAAUUGCACAUUGAUGAUCAGUCAACAUCCAGUGUCGCUGCCUCUGGAGCUUGACCACUGUUGGUAUUUGGUAAGGUGAUAGGUAGUGAUGGCAAUAGUGCUUGCCAUUUGGGGGGACUCCUGGAUGAUCCCGGAUGGCUCCAUAACCAGCGUUGCUCUGAGAGGUAGCUCCUACAAUGAGCUCAGCAGAUGUGCAGUUCCAGCAGGUGUUUGCUAAUUGCUCCUGGCUAGUCUAAAGGAGCAGAGUGGGAGUUCAGAAGCUUGGAAACUGCAGCUGUGGGGAGGCAGCACUUGGUCCCAUCAAG